rnacentral:rRNA from 1 species
CAGUAGCCGCGGUAAUACGGAGGGUGCAAGCGUUAAUCGGAAUUACUGGGCGUAAAGCGCACGCAGGCGGUCUGACAAGUCAGAUGUGAAAUCCCGGGGCUUAACCUGGGAACUGCAUUUGAAACUGUCAGGCUGGAGUCUUGUAGAGGGGGGUAGAAUUCCAGGUGUAGCGGUGAAAUGCGUAGAGAUCUGGAGGAAUACCGGUGGCGAAGGCGGCCCCCUGGACAAAGACUGACGCUCAGGUGCGAAAGCGUGGGGAGCAAACAGGAUUAGAUACCCCUGUAGUCCCUGUCUCUUAUAC